UACGGAGGGUGCAAGCGUUAUCCGGAUUCACUGGGUUUAAAGGGUGCGUAGGUGGGUUGGUAAGUCAGUGGUGAAAUCUCCGGGCUCAACCCGGAAACUGCCAUUGAUACUAUCUGUCUUGAAUAUUGUUGAGGUAGGCGGAAUAUAUCAUGUAGCGGUGAAAUGCAUAGAUAUGAUAUAGAACACCGAUUGCGAAGGCAGCCUACUAAACAAUUAUUGACGCUGAGGCACGAAAGCGUGGGGAUCAAACAGG
rnacentral:rRNA from 1 species